CUCGAGCCUCUCUCUCUCACACCUUGUUAUCUCCGACGGCGAUUUUGGGAGAGAUCGGUCUGAAAAAGAGUUUCUCUUGUCAGAAGCUGAAGAAUCAAAAGCCUCUUAGAAAUGAAUUCCAUGGAAAACAGAUCAUUUUCGGUGAUGCUCAAGACGAGAGCUUCAGAAGGAGCUUCCGAUCGUCAUCCAUCACAGCUCAGAUCAAGAAAUUCAGAGAUGCAUUGGCAAAGCAUGGUCCAGAUAGGUGCAGCCUUGGACGGACUAAAGGCCUUGAAGAGAAAGAGCUUGUGGCACUUGCAGCCAACAAAGAUCUCAACUUUACUUACAGACCAAAGCAUGUACCAGUUGAGAAAGAAGCAGCCACUCCUAAUUUAAACCCAAGCCUCCCUAGCUUUCGACUCAUUCUUAGCAAAGCAUUUCGAAGAGAGUGUACUGCUUAAGUUGCCAGAGAAUUAGCAGUCUGUCCUCAAGCAAUCCCUUAUAAGUGAAGUGGAUGAUAUGCCUACCUAAACCUAACUCACAUUGAUUCAUAAUCUGAGUUUUUGUUUUAAGAAACCUACUUAAGGACUCACCAUUGGACAAAUAAAUUUGUAAGGAUUCAUCAAAAACUCUUAACUUUAAAAA